rnacentral:rRNA from 1 species
GACGAACGCUGGCGGCGUGCCUAAUACAUGCAAGUAGGACGCAGUUGCGAACGGGUGAGUAACGCGUAGGUAACUACCUAUUAGAGGGGGAUAAAUAUUGGAAACGAUAGCUAAUACCGCAUACUAGUAGAUGGACCUGCGUUGUAUUAGGUAGUAGGUAGGGUAAUGGCCUACCUAGGCAACGAUACAUACCCGACCUGAGAGGGUGGUCGGGCACAAUGGGACGGGGAAACGGGCCAGACUCCUUAGGGCGGCAGCAGUAGGGAAUCUUCGGCCAUGGGGGGAACCCUGACCGGGCAACGCCGCGGGAGUGAAGAAGGGUUUCGGAUCGUAAAGCUCUGUUGUUAAGGAAGCGGUACUUAACCAGAAAGGGACGGCUAACUACGUGCCAGCAGCCGCGGUAAUAC